rnacentral:misc_RNA from 1 species
AAUUUGCAUGCAGUCUGAUGUAUAGGUAGCUUCAUUUUGUGUUUGUUAAAGACUAUCCUCUUGCCAACUUACUGCAAGAACAGCAUGUUUUGUAGUCCCAGUUGUUUUUUUCAGAAAUGUGUUAGAGUUACUUACCUUGAAUGAUCUACAUUUCACUGUUUAAGGAAAUAAACAAAAUGGAUACUAAGUAAUUAUGAAAUGUUAUAUACUUGAGCCAGCAGUAAUGUUAAACUAUAGGCACAAUAUGGUUACAAUGUAAUUUCCAAGUCUCAUCCUCAUCCAAAUCAUGUAACAAAGGAACUCAGCAUACCUUAUCAUCUACAAACAACUGCAGUGCUCAGCUUGCUCUUGUAGCACUUCAUUUAGUGUCAGGACAAAAAAUAGCUUUUGAUAUUGUUGUAUAAUUCAAGUAAAAAAUGUUAUCAUUGAUAUAUUUUAAACAUAUGCAAGUAGUUUAACAUUAAUUAUCACAUGUCCAUUUUGAUGUUAUGUUAUUUUGUUCUCUUGGUGUUAUAGCAAAUAUUAAUAAAUGUUUUAAUCAAAUAUAU